rnacentral:lncRNA from 1 species
UUUUAUACAAAUAUCUUUUGAUUCUAUAAAAAUAUCAUUUAUAAUGUAUUGUUUGCAUAAAUUAAAAAUAUAAUUUAAAAUAUAUCAUUGCCGAAAGAAUCAAUUAUAUUUGAUAAUUGUGUCAUUUGUUGUAAGGAAAAGUAUCAUUUACGUUGUCAAAAAAAUUAAACGAAAAAAAAUGGUAAAAAAAUAAAAAAUUAACGGGUCUAAGUCGAAUAGGGCCGGGUGAGCAUGGAUCUGGGCAGGGUAGGACUCGUCUGCACCACGGUCCUACAGGUGACUAGCCCUAACAUUAUACUCCAUCCGUUUAC